GGCCUCUCACUGUUGUGGCCUCUCCCGUUGCGGAGCACAGGCUCCGGACGUGCAGGCUCAGCGGCCAUGGCUCACGGGUCCAGCCCGCUCUGUGGCAUGUGGGAUCCUCCCGGACCGGGGCACGAACCCACGUCCCCUGCAUCGGCAAGCAGACUCUCAACGACUGCGCCACCAGGGAAGCCCAGAUCUUUAUUUUUUUAAGUCAGCAGUCUUGGCAACCAAUGAAGGAGCCCAGAGCAGACUUUUCUUCUUUGCCUGAACUCUAUGAGGAUCCAGAGUCCUGGCACUAGCAGAGGCUUCUUGGGCCUGUCCGCUUUCUCAGAGAGUCCAGACGAAUUUGGUUCCAGAAAUGACGUCUGCUGAAGGAGAACAUGUUCUAGCAAUGAAAUCUUCAAAAGACUCCUGCCGCUGCUCUGUGACUGGGACCCCCAGGUUGUCUUUGGAAGUUUCUAAGGCCUCCUGAGUAGACGCUGGGACACGGAAGGAGUCGAGAGGCAAAGGAAUCCUAGCAUCACCUGUAAUUUUCGGAAAGUGGAGGGGAAGACAAAAGACAAGACAAAAAUUCAGUGAUGAA